UACGAAGGGUGCAAACGUUGUUCGGAAUUACUGGGCGUAAAGGGCUCGUAGGCGGCCAACUAAGUCGGAUGUGAAAUCCCCAGGCUUAACCUGGGAACUGCAUCCGAUACUGGAUGGCUUGAAUUCGGGAGAGGGAUGCAGAAUUCCAGGUGUAGCGGUGAAAUGCGUAGAUAUCUGGAGGAAUACCGGUGGCGAAGGCGGCAUCCUGGACCGACAUUGACGCUGAGGCGCGAAAGCCAGGGGAGCAAAGCGGG
rnacentral:rRNA from 1 species